AAAGAAAAACAUAUUUACUUCAAAACCACAAAAGAAGCAAAAAUUGCCUGUGCAGGAAGAACAAUUUUUGGGGUAAUGUGGGACAAUACCUAGUCUUAAAGGAAAAAUCUGCAAUUCUGAGUUGUGUGUACUUCAAUAAUGUAGCCCUGGAAUAGCAAAAACAAUAUUGCCUCAACAUGCGUAAAGCAAAACCCAACAGCAUUAAAAGAACUUACAAAGCUAAAAAAAAAAAAAAAAAAAGAAUCCUUUCCUUCUCCCUACCUUUGAGUAUCACCCCUAGAAUGUAUAUAUGUAUGUAUGCAAGCAUGCAUGCAUGUCAUGGCCAAAGACAAACUUCCGGCUGCACCGGGGGGUCCUGAAGGAAUAAUCGUGCCUGUGUAUGUAUGCUUGGCUUGUCACACUUGGGUUUUCAAGACCAAUUAAAGAGAGGUUUCGGUCUAGCCCAGAACUGAGCGCACUUGAACGUGCUCACUAAGCUUAGUUCCCCACUGGGCGAUGCAACAUUUACAAAUCGCAUUCCCACCUCUGUCAGGGCAAGCCCACUUUUCAUUCGCCAAGGAUCCCUUGCAAGGCAAACAGUUUGCUUUCCUGAACAGCCAUGGAAACAGGAUUCUAAACAGAAACAAAAGCGUAGAAACCCAUGGGCUCUCCUUCCACUGCCUGCAUGGUCUGAAGUGCUGCAGUUUAUGGAAGCAUCACCCAUUGUCUUGUUCAGGCUGGUGUUUUUAUUCAGGGAAAUGUGGGAAUGGGAGCUGGAAGAGCUGCUGGUGAGUUUGCCUGUCUAUUUAGAGAGGAGAGCAGGCAGAUGCCUGGGGGUGGGGGGUGGGGGGGGGGUGGAGAAAAACCUAUGCAAACUUAGCAGGGAGCAGAAAGCCCAGCAGGGAUGGCUGGUUUCCUAGCAAUCAAUGACCAAGUCCCUCUGGGAUUAUUCCCAGAAGAACAAAUGGUUUUAGAAGCAGAUGCAAGUCUAGGAUCAGUUAUUGACACUGCUCGACCCAGGGCAGCUUGCACAUGCAUCCCCUAGUAAGAUCUUAGAAUCUUGGAUCUGAGUUUUAAUUCACAUUCCUGGGACUCCUUUUAGAAGUUUAUUCCUCAUUGGCCAGACUCGGGGUUUUAUCUCAGGAUAGCUGUUCUAACCCAGGGUGUUUAAACAAUUUUUUCCAGAGAAUCAAAAAGGGGUAGUUGUUAUUUGCAGAAGAGUCAGAACCAUUCUCUAAGACUCAGCUCUGUCUAUGAAACCCUCUCUAACUUACCUGGGCCAAAUGGCCGCUCCAUCUUUUUCUGCACUCCCCAGUUUAGUCUGCUCUUAGACCACUUUUUUUUCUUUUUAUUUUUUUUGAAUUUCCUAGAUAGCCGUCUUUGCACGUAUACUAUCUUCCCCAAUAGACUUAUUUUUUUUUCUUCCUUUUUUUUUAGGGCCACACCCGAGGCAUAUGGAAGUUCCCAGACUAGGGGUCAAAUCAGAGCUAUAGCUGCUGGCCUACAUCACAGCCACAAAACAUCAGAUCCAAGCUGCGUCUGAGACCUAUACCACAGCUUGCGGUCACGCUGGAUCCUUAACCCACUGAGCGAGGCCAGGGAAUGAACCCAAAUCCUCAUGGAAACUAGUCGGGUUCUUAACCCACUGAGCCACAAUGGGAACUCCCCUCAAAAGCCUUCUUAAGUGUAUCUUAUUUAUCUGUCGCCUUCCAGUGCCCAGCAGACUGGUGUAUAGUAGGCGCUUAGGAAAGCUUAUUAACUGACUGAACAGGUGGGCAGAGUCACAGGGAUUUCUUAUCCUCCCUCAAGCUGCCCACCCCAUCCCUAUCAUCAGCCCUGUCUUUGUGGACCAGGAGGAAAGCAGGCAGAAGGACCACUGUCUGGGACUGCUGACACCACUGCUGUGUUAGCAUAGAAAUGGGAACGCUACUAUCCUGGAGGGCCACCGCCAACCAGGAGAGGGCAUGAAUCACCCUGUAUGUCAGAAUGGGUUUUGUCCAGAAAAGGACAUCAUUCUUGGUGCCCAGUGCCCGGAGGAAGAGAAGCAUCUAGGACCAGAGUUGGCUUCUGUGAGCCUUGGGGGCCACCUUCAGGAAUGGGAGGCUAAGCUUCAACAUCCUCUAGGGUGUUGAAAUCUCAUGAGGUGGCAUCACCUAUUUGCAAUUGAUCCAGAAGUCGGGGGUGGAGUGUCAGGCAGGUGUCUGGGAUGGGCGGCUGCCCCCAGUGGCGAGUAGAUGGGCUUCAGAGAGUGGCGAAGAAACUGAGUCUGAGUGUUGCCCUCUUGGUUCAUUCUCUGCCUUCCCUGAGGAUUAAGUCAACUUCCUUCCACACUCCGGCCCUUCCCAGAAGCUGCAUAGGGUUUGUCUGAGACCAGGCUUGGACCAGGGGGCAAGAGAAGCACAGUUGCAGGGAGAGAGCUCAAGGAGUUGGUAACUUUGGAGCCCAGUGAAUGGAGAUGGGCACAGCCAGCAGCCCCUCACACCCGGGAAACUUCCCUCCAACGCUCUGACUCCCUGGGUUUAUGCUCCUCAAGAUGCUAUUCCUCUGCUUCCCAGAACUCAGUUCUUCGGAGAAGCUGGGCGACCCUGGUGCUUCAGCCGGCACAGGAUGAGAGGAGAAGUGGCCUUUGCUCAGUGUUUCUGCCCCGUAUCAAGUAUUUUACACACCUAUCUAACUGAAUCCACCCAGGAGCCCUGUAAUGUAGAUAUAAUUUUUUUCCUCUUACGGUGGACGAAACGGAGGCUCACAGGAUAAUUGCGUCGCGGAACUGGGAAUUCGAUCCAGGCUUCUAUAUUCCCAACCCUGGCUCCUGCUGAUUCCUCUAUUUGAGGGAUCUACAAAAAAUGCAUUUUAUAGCUCUCCCCCCAGCCCACUCCCCAGGCGCUUUUCACUAAGUGCUGAUGACAUGUUUGGAUCUUUCCCUGCUCUUACCUUGGUGGCUGCAGGACCUCAGGGUCUGCUCCUGGUAUUCUGCCUACACUCUUGGGAGCACCCCAGGCUCAGUGAAAUAAACGUCCUUAGGAAGAUCCAAUCCUGCUUCCAAUCCAGAACCAGUGAGGGACUGAGCUGGAAAGGAUCGCAGAGGCCAUCUGGUGGAACCCCUUCUUUUUUUUUAAAUUUUAAAAAAUUUUUAAGGCUGUACCCACAACAUAUGGAGGUUCCCAGGCUAGGGGUCUAAUCGGAGCUGUAGCCGCCGGCCUAUGCCACAGCCACAGCAACGCGGGAUCUGAGCCACAUCCACGACCUACACCACAGCUCAUGGCAACACGGGAUCCUUAACCCACUGAGCGAGGUCAGGGAUCGAACCUGCCACCUCAUGGUUCCUAGUUGGAUUCGUUUCCGCUGCGCCACAACAGGAACUCCCCCUUCACUCUUAAUAGGGAGACACACAGACCACCGAGGGUGACUGGUCCAAGGCCACAUGUGGCAAAUGAGAUGGGGGUGGGGUGUGGGGGGGAACCAGGCCCAGGCUCUCUCCCAUCCAAGUCGUCUUCCUUAGCUCUUGGAUCCUUUGGCCAGAAGGAAUCCGGGGUUCUCUUCUAUUGUCAUCCCUGGGAGAGUGGAAUCCUGUGUGUGGCUGCAGACAGGGAGCCCCAAUCCUGGUACCAUAAUCUUCUUUACCAGAUUAGACAGCUAAGGUCCACAUCAGGGCUGUUAGGUCUGACACUGGAGCCACCAAGGCCUAGCAGCAAGUCAUUCCUUACCCUGGGAGCGACGCCGCUCCAGCCCCCUGAUAGGCGAGGCGGGGCUGAUGUGGGCACAGCAGCAGGGCACAGUCAUGCGGAGGUGACCGAAACUGGAUUAGGCGUUCUGCUCCAAGACACAGACUCACACUGCCUCCUCUCUGCCUGCCUUUUGCUCUCAUUUUAAAGCUGGCGUCCCGAUUGCCAAGUCAGCAAUCCAAUGAACUGAGAUACUUUGAAGAACGCCCUCAAACUGAAAAACUGACAUCCCGAUUCAGGAGGCCUGCCCUGCCUCAUUAAUCUGCUGGUCAGUUUGCCAUGGAUCAGGUGGAAGCUGGCUUCCCCACCGUCUCCAGGACGACUCUAGGAGGUUGAUUUCAGAAGAACCAAGCCCUCAAUCCUAGAGAUAAGGAUCUUUGCCAGCGGCACCAGCACAGUCCCCGAGAUGGGUGGAAAGUCACAGAAAGUACAAAAUUCUGCUUGGGCCUCCUGAAUUUAUUUUCCUCGUUAUUUGGUGUCUUCCUGCAAAUAGGAAGAUCCCGGGAUUGAGAAGGGCUUUUAUAUCCGCAAGGAGCGGAGUGAAAUGGCACAGCCUGCCAUUCACACCUCGAGGUGCCAGCAAGCCAGCCCAGCCUUCAUCCCUGGCCUGGCCUUCGCUCUGACUCUGCAGGCUCCCCCUGACACACAUCCCACUAAUAAUAACUGUUCUACACCAUUGGAGCCAUCACACACCUCAGGCUGGGAAGCUCUCUGCCCUCAUGAUUUUGGUUGGGUUUGACAUGAUUAUAGGAGCCCCAACAGCUAUCCGAAUGCCCAUUUUGCAGGUGGGCUAACUGAGAUUCAGUGAGGGCAUAAGUCAGUGGGUGGCAGAGCUGGGACCUGAAAGCAGAGCAUCUGCCUCCCCCAACCCUGAUCUGCACUUCCUUUUACAGGACGCCACCUCUGCACUUCCUGUGCCAUAUCUUUCGUGGCGCCUUUGUCCCUGUUGUUAUGUGGAAUGGUCCUUAGAGUGGAGUGGACACUCAGGCUGCUUCCCAGUAUGCGUGCAUGUCCCUAUUUUCCUUCCCAAGAGCACCUGAGCUGGUUCAUGCAUCCUUCCCUCCCCGACAAAGAUGCUUGUUUCAGAAGAUGUGACUCCCGACCCCUAGAUCCAGGGUGAUCCCAUUCCCCUUGACAACAAAGGGUCAUGUGACCCAAUUCUGGCCAAUGAGAGAGCAGGCGGACACUUAGGGGAAGCUUCUGAAAAAAAUCUCUCCUCUCUUCUAAGGGAGUCACAGGAGGAGAGAGGUUCCUCAUUCUCUUCUUGGACAUUAUCCUGUCCGUGCAGGGGGCCCAGGACUGCUGCAGACCCCCUUGCUACCAGGUUGAAGAUGAAACUGCGCUGAAGGGUGCCACCCCUGGGCAGAGAGAGGACCAGAGCCUAGGACCCUGGUGUGGUGCCUUCAUCCCGUGCCACAGGGGUCUGCUCCCAGAAGAGCUGGGGCCUGGCUAUGAUCGAUGAGCUCCUGUCACCCUCAUGACAUACUCUCCUGAACCAUCUCACCAUCACUCAGAAGCUUUGCUUUGGAGGAAGGAAGAAAGAACAGUCUAUGUAUUGUGUCUUGAGUGCUCCUUCGGAUGCUUUCCCAUCUUCGUUCCCAAACUACAAGGUCUGUGUUAAUAUUCCUAUUUCACAGAGGAGGAAACUAAAUCAAAUAGUUUGUCCAAGGAAACUCAAGCUAAUAGGUAAUGGAAACAUGGUGUGCAUUCAGGCUGCGUCAGUAGAGUAGAAAGCAUGUGGGUUUCAGUCCUGGCUCUCUAGCUGGCUGGAGGACCAGGCAUUCCUCCAUGCAUGUCAGUUUCUUUGUCGGAUGAUGGAGAGGCUGGACACAGACUUGAAUGUGCCAGCCGGCUCUCCCAACAGAGCAGUGUGUCUGGAGGCAGGGCUGCCAUUGUUGGGACCUAGCUCUGCCCCUGUUGAGUGGGUGAUGCGUCCCUGUUCCCCUCCAUGCCUUGUUUUUCUCAUCUGAAUCUCUUCGAACUUUUUUUACUUUUUCUUUUUUUUGGGGAGGGGGUGGCUUUAUUUAGGGCCACACCCAUGGCAUACAGAAGUUCCCAAGCUAGGGGUCAAAUCAGAGCUGCAGCAGCUGGCCUAUACCACAGCCACAGCAACAAAAAGAUCUGAGCCACGUCUGCAGCCUGCACCACAGCUCACGGCAAUGCCAGAUCCUUAACCCACUGAGUGAAGCCAGGGAUCAAACCCGUAUCCUCAUGGAUACUAGUCGGGUUCGUUACCACUGAGCCACGAUGGGAACUCCUGAAUCUCUUUGAAUCUUGAAAAUAGAGAUUGCAACAGCUGAGACAAUCCAUGUAAAGUAUGUAACACAGUUGAAAAUUCCAUUAAGGUCCUAGAGUGUCAUUAUAAUCCUAUAUUAUAAUUCUACUGGUGUAUUGGGAAAUGGUCUAGAUGGGUGAGCCCUGUGAAAUAAGAUUACGAUAUCUAAAGAAACAAUAUUUCACUACCUAUGGAUACAAAUAAUAACACUCAGGAAGAGAUUAGUCAGUAGGCAACCCUCCCAACUGGAAGAUGAAGAAAGAAGCUGGGUGAUCAGCUUAGAGUCUGCCCAAUGAUGGCACUUUGAAAAGGGAUGCUAGCCUACCUAGGGCUUGUCCUCUCUCCUAAGAGAAUUUCACACCCCCCUCUCUCAUCUGUGGGCAGCCCUUGACAGCUGGGCAGUGCUACCUGCAAAAACUCUAUAAAAAUCCAUUUCAAGCCAGGGGUUCCCAGGGAUCACAGGGUCUGAAUGGGGCUCUAAAUUCACACCUGCCUUGCCUUUUCUCCAUAAAAGCAGUAUUUGAAAUGAGGGAGUCAAGCUGCUCUGGGUUCAGAGGACUCAUGGGAAGAGGGGCAGGCCACCAGCAAGCAGGGUCCCCCUUCAAAGCAGGAGGCGAGGGGCUCCUUAAACAUUCAGGCUGCGAGAGUAGGGGCUGCCGCAGCUAACGGCUCUGCAGACUCAGAGAGGGACUGCCUGCCAAGUGCACUAGUAAUUAGUUGUUAACACAUGGAAAUAAAAGCCGAUUUAGAAACAGAUCCCAUCAUUUAUUUAUAGCAAUCCAGGGCAAGGAUUUUUUUAUAAUAAUAAAAAAUUGGACAUAGUUCCUAGUCAAAACCAAGCCAUCCAAGGAGCUCUAAACUCACCUCACUCACUCGCCUUCUCUCUCACCUCCUCCUGGAAGACCACCUAGACUGACCUGGCUGAGCCCUGCACCCUUCAACUUUCAGGCUCUCAUGCUGCCCCAAACUGCUGUGCACAGAGACCACCACUGGAUCACGUUCUCUGAUCCUUUGCCCACGUGCUUCUGUGGGUCUUUGGUGAAUGGAAAGAGCCAGGCUUGAGAAAGAGCCCAGCUCAAAUCCUGGUUCUAGCACUUUAAAGCUGUGUGGCUUCAGCCAAGCCAUUGUCCAUGCUUUCAGCUGAUUAUAAACAUAGAUAUUAAAUGUGCUAAGCUACAUGGAGCCCAAAGUUUGUGCCCAGCAUUGAGUGGGUGCCCUUACUCCCUCCCAGGCGAGAUCUGUAUCUUUCAUUCCUCUUUCUUCUCAAUUUCUGGCAGAAAAAGCAAGACGGCAUAGAGAGUGCAGGCUCCGAAGCCAGAUUUCCGCACUUUGAGUCCUGCUCUACUGCCAACCAGCCGCGUGACUUAGAGUGACUUAUGUAAGCUCAUGAUGCCUCAGUUUCUUCAACUA